rnacentral:rRNA from 1 species
AGAAAGAGAAGCAAGGGCGUACGGAGGAUGCCUUGGCUUCGGCAGGCGAUGAAGGACGCGGUAAGCUGCGAAAAUGUCCGGGGACCCGCAAACAGGGCUUGAUCCGGACGUGUCCGAAUGGGGCAACCCACUGGAUUGAAGAUCCAGUACCGUCUAUAUGACGGGGCGAACCCGGGGAACUGAAACAUCUUAGUACCCGGAGGAGAAGAAAGAAAGAUCGAUUCCCCCAGUAGUGGCGAGCGAAGAGGGAAGAGCCUAAACCGUCUCGUUCAAGGACGAGUCGGGGUCGUAGGAUCACUUGCGAAUAUCUCGGACAGGAACCGGAAGGAGUUUGGAAAACUCCGGCGCAGAGGGUGACACCCCCGUACGGGUAACGAGUCCGAGGUCAUAGUGACACCUGAGUAGGGCGGGGCACGUGGAAUCCUGUCCGAAUCAUCGGGGACCAUCCCGAAAGGCUAAAGACUGCCGAAGACCGAUAGUGGACCAGUACCGUGAGGGAAAGGUGGGAAGCACCCCUGGCCGGGGAGUGAAAUAGAACCUGAAACCGUGCGCCUACAAGCGGUGGGAGCCCGAAUUAUCGGGUGACCGCGUGCCUUUUGCAUAAUGAGCCUACGAGUUGCGCCGUCGCGGCGAGGCUAAGCCAUUCAGUGGCGGAGCCGCAGCGAGAGCGAGUCUGAACAGGGCGUUCAGUCGCGGCGGGCAGACGCGAAACCUAGUGAUCUACCCUUGUCCAGGGUGAAGGCGCCGUAACAGUCGCUGGAGGCCCGAACCAGUUUCCGUUGAAAAGGGCUUGGAUGAGAUGAGGGUAGGAGUGAAAGGCCAAUCAAACUGGGAGAUAGCUCGUACUCCCCGAAAUGUCUUUAGGGACAGCCUCGUCCGCGCCUGCGUGAGGUAGAGCUACCGAUUGGAAGCGAGGGCUUCGCCGCCUAUCAAUUCCAGACGAACUCCGAAUGCGCGCCAGGUUCAGGGACGGGAGUGAGUCGUCGGGCGCUAAUGUCCGUCGGCGAGAGGGUAAGAGCCCAGACCUCCGGCCAAGGCCCCCAAUCACGGUCUAAGUUGAGACGGAACGAAGUGGCACCGCAGAGACAGCCAGGAUGUUAGCUUGGAAGCAGCUAUUCAUUCAAAGAGUGCGUAACAGCUCACUGGUCGAGCGGAGCCGCGUGGAUGAUGAUCGGGCAUCAAGACCGUAGCCGAAGCCGAGGACGCGUGUAGUAGAUACACGCGUGGUAGGGGAGCAUUCCGGUCGGCGCCGAAGGCGAGCCGCGAGGCUUGCUGGAGCGUCCGGAAACGAAAAUGUAGGCAUGAGUAACGACAACGGGUGCACAACCACCCGCACCGAAAACCCAAGGGUUCCCGGGCGACGCCAAUCGUCCCGGGGUGAGCCGGGAGCUAAGCCUAACCCGAAGGGGGAGGGCGAUGCCGAGGCGGUCAAUAUUCCGCCGCCCGUCGCACAGGACCGCAGGUGACCGGGGAGUGACACUGCCGCGCGCUGACGGAAUAGCGCGUUGAAGGGUGUAGGGAGACCGAGACCCGACAGUACCGCGAGGCUCCGGCCGAGCGGACAGAGCAGGUAACCAAACCCGCGAGAAAAGCUUGCGAGUCGCGUAGCGUGUGACGGCCCGUACCGUAAACCGACACAGGUGGGUGAGGAGAGUAUCCUAAGGUGCUCGAGUGAAUCACGGCCAAGGAACUAGGCAAAUUGACCCCGUAACUUCGGGAGAAGGGGUCCUCCGUGAGGAGGCGCAGAGAAAUGGCCCAGGCGACUGUUUACCAAAAACACAUGGCUAUGCGAAAUCGUUAAGAUGACGAAUAUGGCCUGACACCUGCCCGGUGCCGGAAGGUUAAGAGGGGGGAUCAGCGUGGAAGCAAUGAAGCGUGAAG